rnacentral:rRNA from 1 species
GACGAACGCUGGCGGCGUGCUUAACACAUGCAAGUCGAACGGAAAGGCGCUGCUUUUGUGGGGUGCUCGAGUGGCGAGCGGGUGAGUAACACGUGAGUAACCUGCCCUUGACUUUGGGAUAACUUCAGGAAACUGGGGCUAAUACCGGAUAGGAGCUCCUGCUGCAUGGUGGGGGUUGGUAAGUUUCGGCGGUUGGGGAUGUACUCGCGGCUUAUCAGCUUGUUGGUGGGGUUGUGGCGUACCAAGGCUUUGACGGGUAGCCGGCCUGAGAGGGUGACCGGCCACAUGGGGACUGAGAGAGGCCCCAGAAGCCGACGGUAGGCAGCAGUGGGGAAUAUGGCACAGCGGGCGGGCGCCUGAUGCAGCAGCGCCGCGAGCGUGAUGACGGCCUUCGGGUUGUGAACCACUGUCGCCUGUGACGAAGCGGGAUUGACGGUAACUGGUAAAGAAGCACCGGCUAACUACGUG